rnacentral:rRNA from 1 species
UACAGAGGGUGCGAGCGUUGUCCGGAAUUAUUGGGCGUAAAGAGCUCGUAGGCGGUUUGUCGCGUCUGCCGUGAAAGUCCGGGGCUCAACUCCGGAUCUGCGGUGGGUACGGGCAGACUAGAGUGAUGUAGGGGAGACUGGAAUUCCUGGUGUAGCGGUGAAAUGCGCAGAUAUCAGGAGGAACACCGAUGGCGAAGGCAGGUCUCUGGGCAUUAACUGACGCUGAGGAGCGAAAGCAUGGGGAGCGAACAGG